GGAGAGUCCUAUGACAAUUAGAUUGUUACUAGUUUUGUUAAUAUCAGGACCUAUUGCUCGUUAAAAAGCAGUAUUUACUUCUUUUCAUUCUAACUCGUAACUUCAAUAAUUGAUACUAACCCAGCCAACAUUGACAAACGGUACCGUAUUGUUUUUGUCUUGGCUCACGAGAACGGGAUUUUGACGGGUAAAAGUUUAGGUUUCCGGACAGGUCCCAGCUGGUAAAAAAAUCCAGCAAAUUUGCUUUAUUGGUAUUUAUCAGGGCCGAAUGAUCUGGGUUUCCCAGAAGGUUCCCAAAAGGUUUAAACUGAUAAUUAAAAAAUCAUUACAAAACUUAUUCGAUGGUUGCCAUUUGUAAUUCGUAUUGUGCGUGAAAUUAGUUUAAAAACUUAACUUUUAUGCAUUAUAUUUUUGCUCAUAUUGAAAUGAGAUAUUGUGCAAAGAAAGAAGUUUUCAAAGAAGUUGUUUUAACAAUGGAAAAGCUUCCGAUUUGCAAGAUAACCAUGAAAGUAUUUGAUACAUGAUUAAAGAAUCGUUUAAAAGUUAGCUUAAUUUUGACACUGUAAUUUUAUUUAUUUUGUUUGAAAUAAACCAAUAAAGUUAUAUAUAA